UCCUGGUUAGCUCAGUUGGUAGAGCGCUCCACUGGAAAUGGAGAAGUCCCUGGUUCAGGAG
rnacentral:tRNA from 1 species